CCUAUGGUCCCACUGAAUUCUAUGGCCCAGCUACUCGGGAGGCUGAGCUCGCCGGAUCGCUUGAUCCCAGGAGUUCUGGGCUGCAGUGCGCUAUGCUGAGCGGGCGUCCGCGCUAAGGCCGGCAUCAAUAUGGUGAGCCUCGGGGAGCCGGGGCACACCAGGUUGCCUAAGGAGGGGUGAACCGGCCCAGGUCGGAAACGGAGCAGGUCAAAAAUCCCGUGCCGGUCAGUAGCGGGAUCGCGCCUGUGAAUAGCCACUGCAGCAUAGCCUGGGCAACACAGAGAGACGCGGGUUCCU
rnacentral:SRP_RNA from 1 species